rnacentral:lncRNA from 1 species
GUAACGACCCGAAAACCGGUACCCCACAGUAACGGUCCGAACCGUCACUGGCACUAGGAUCCAGAUCGGCUUAAGGCCGCCGGGACCCGUAGUUAGCCAACUAUACUUGUUGUGUACCUGAUAAAUCCCAUACAUGAUACAGAACGACUCAACAAUCCUGGACAACUCUGUAGGCUUAACUACUGCUACUCAGAUAUGUCAAUCUGAAAUGGCCCUCAGGGCCUAUACCAGGGACUACCAUCUGCUGUGGCUCAAGGGAUUGAAACCCUUUUUAAUCUAUAACACAUCCCAAUGGUAUCUCAUCCAAGCCAUGCAUUAAGCCUACCUCACAC